UCGAGAAUAUUCCACAAUGGGCGAAAGCCUGAUGGAGCGACGCCGCGUGCAGGAAGAAGGUUUUCGGAUUGUAAACUGCUUUUCUACGGGAUGAUUCCGCCGUAUGGCGGACGACAGUACCGUAGGAAUAAGGGGUUGCUAACUACGUG
rnacentral:rRNA from 1 species